rnacentral:rRNA from 1 species
UACGGGGGGGGCAAGCGUUGUUCGGAAUUACUGGGCGUAAAGGGCUCGUAGGUGGCCAACUAAGUCAGACGUGAAAUCCCUCGGCUUAACCGGGGAACUGCGUCUGAUACUGGAUGGCUUGAGUUCGGGAGAGGGAUGCGGAAUUCCAGGUGUAGCGGUGAAAUGCGUAGAUAUCAGGAGGAAUACCGAUGGCGAAGGCAGGUCUCUGGGCUAUAACUGACGCUCACGCACGAAAGCGUGGGGAGCAAACAGG